GAGAGAGAGAGAGAGAGAGAGAGAGAAAGAGAGAGUCUAGAUUGAAUCAGAGGCUACGAGUUCAGUGAAUAUGAGAGAAUUCAAGAGAAGGGUGUUUCAGCUGGCUUGUUCUGUUGUGAUUCAUACGCCUCAAACUUAUUCAUCAAGAGGAGCUUGUACAGUGCAAUGAUCAUUCCCGGGGGCUAUAUAGGGUGUUAAACGUGAAACAAACCCGUUCAAGACGUAUUCAAACUGAACCUAUUGAAAUAAGGAUCUCUAUUGAAGCUGAUGUGAGGACUGUAAAUUAUAGCAGGCAGGUUUGAGAAUAUUGUUCAAUUAAAUAUUUGAAUUAGCUUUGUAACUAGCCCUUCUUUGUUACACUGAAGUAGUAUUACUUACUUUGAAUGAGUGGGUAUUUUUGGGGUUUUAGUAUUGUUGUAUCUUUGCUUUUUCUAAUGGAUUGAAGGCAUUCGCAGUGGACUGAAACCUGGAACAAAAGUCUAGGAGUCAACUGGUUGAAGUUUUGGUUGGGUCUUGAUUGAAAAUAGCUGUCCCUCUCUUGAUUGAA